CCUACGGGGGACUGCAGUGAGGAAUAUUGGUCAAUGGGCGCGAGCCUGAACCAGCCAAGUAGCGUGAAGGAUGACUGCCCUACGGGUUGUAAACUUCUUUUAUAAAGGAAUAAAGUGAAGCAUGUGUGCCUUUUUGUAUGUACUUUAUGAAUAAGGAUCGGCUAACUCCGUGCCAGCAGCCGCGGUAAUACGGAGGAUCCGAGCGUUAUCCGGAUUUAUUGGGUUUAAAGGGAGCGUAGAUGGGUUGUUAAGUCAGUUGUGAAAGUUUGCGGCUCAACCGUAAAAUUGCAAUUGAUACUGGCAGUCUUGAGUACAGGUGAGGUAGGCGGAAUUCGUGGUGUAGCGGUGAAAUGCUUAGAUAUCACGAAGAACUCCGAUUGCGAAGGCAGCCUACUAAACUGCCACUGACAUUGAUGCUCGAAAGUGUGGGUAUCAAACAGGAUUAGAUACCCUUGUAGUC
rnacentral:rRNA from 1 species